GGGGGACCUUCGGGCCUCUCGCGAUUGGAUGAACCUUUUUGGGAUUGCUAGUUGGUGAGGUAAUGGCUCACCAAGGCGACUAUCCCUAGCUGUUCUGAGAGGAUGAUCAGCCACACUGGGACUGAUACACGGCCCAGACUCCUACGGGAGGCAGCAGUGGGGAAUAUUGCACAAUGGGGGAAACCCUGAUGCAGCCAUGCCGCGUGUGUGAAGAAGGCCUUCGGGUUGUAAAGCACUUUCAGUAGGGAGGAAAGGGUGAGUCUUAAUACGGCUCAUCUGUGACGUUACCUACAGAAGAAGGACCGGCUAACUCCGUGCCAGCAGCCGCGGUAAUACGGAGGGUCCGAGCGUUAAUCGGAAUUACUGGGCGUAAAGCGUGCGCAGGCGGUUUGUUAACCGAGAUGUGAAAGCCCUGGGCUCAUCCUAGGAAUAGCAUUUCUAACUGGCGAACUAAAGUCUUGUAGAGGGGGGUAGAAUUCCACGUGUAGCAGUGAAAUACAAAAAGUUUUUGGAGGGA
rnacentral:rRNA from 1 species